AUUCACGUCAACCUCCAGGCAUCCUCCGCGGCGGGCCGGACCGGGCCGGCGGAGGGGAGCGGAAGCCCACCGGGGCUGGCCCGCCGCUGACCCGCCGCCUCCGUCUGCCUCCUCCCGGGCUCUGGGCCCAGCGCGCCCAGAUGCCGGGCAGGACCCCUCCGCCCGCUGCUGGAACACCAAUAGCAGCGUUGGAGCCUCUGGGCCGGAGGAACUGGGGCCUCCACCGACACCUGCUUGAGAAGAGGAGCCAAAACAUCAUAGUUGAACCGUCCUGGAAUAGAAACUCGCCCUGAAUUCUUUCUUGUGUGAAAUCCAAGAGCCCUCUCUUGGGGUUGGAUCGGGACCCUGUUCCUGUAACAAGUCCACAAUGCCAGAGAAUUAAAGAGAACCACAAAGUUUCUGCCAUUUCAGUUCCUGUUAUCGUGCUUUGAGGUGCACUGAACUGCAGCAAACCCAGGGGAUCCAAGGCUACGUUGAAAAGCCUUUGACCACAGUGCAGGGAGCAGAAGACAUUAAUGACGUGAUGUCGACACAGCCCGCACUCAGGAUCCUCCAGGAAAAGAACACAGAGAUAACCCCGGAUCGAUGGUACUUUUUGAAAAUGCUUUAUUGCAAAAGAGUGGCUAGGGUUUUACAAGGGCUAUGAAGAAACAUAUUAAGGUUAAUAAAGCUUUUUAUUGAGUGUUUA
rnacentral:lncRNA from 10 species